AAAGUGCGAGUGGCGAACGGGUGAGUAACACGUGGGCAAUCUGCCCAAAAGUGGGGGAUAACACUUGGAAACAGGUGCUAAUACCGCAUCAACCGGCUGACCGCAUGGUCGGCCGGGCAAAGACGGCGUCAGCUGUCGCUUUUGGAUGAGCCCGCGGCGUAUUAACUAGUUGGUAAGGUAACGGCUUACCAAGGUGAUGAUACGUAGCCGAACUGAGAGGUUGAUCGGCCACAUUGGGACUGAGACACGGCCCAAACUCCUACGGGAGGCAGCAGUAGGGAAUCUUCCACAAUGGACGCAAGUCUGAUGGAGCAACGCCGCGUGUAUGAAGAAGGUCUUCGGAUCGUAAAAUACUGUUGUCAGAGAAGAACACGUGAUAGAGUAACUGCUAUGGCGCUGACGGUAUCUGACCAGCAAGUCACGGCUAACUACGUGCCAGCAGCCGCGGUAAUACGUAGGUGGCAAGCGUUGUCCGGAUUUAUUGGGCGUAAAGGGAACGCAGGCGGUCUUUUAAGUCUGAUGUGAAAGCCUUCGGCUUAACCGGAGAAGUGCAUUGGAAACUGGAAGACUUGAGUGCAGAAGAGGAGAGUGGAACUCCAUGUGUAGCGGUGAAAU
rnacentral:rRNA from 1 species